CCUACGGGUGGCAGCAGUGAGGAAUAUUGGUCAAUGGACGAGAGUCUGAACCAGCCAAGUAGCGUGAAGGAUGACUGCCCUAUGGGUUGUAAACUUCUUUUAUAUGGGAAUAAAAUGUUCCACGUGUGGGAUUUUGUAUGUACCAUAUGAAUAAGGAUCGGCUAACUCCGUGCCAGCAGCCGCGGUAAUACGGAGGAUCCGAGCGUUAUACGGAUUUAUUGGGUUUAAAGGGAGCGUAGGUGGAUUGUUAAGUCAGUUGUGAAAGUUUGCGGCUCAACCGUAAAAUUGCAGUUGAAACUGGCAGUCUUGAGUACAGUAGAGGUGGGCGGAAUUCAUGGUGUAGCGGUGAAAUGCUUAGAUAUCACGAAGAACUCCGAUUGCGAAGGCAGUUCACUGGACUGCAACUGACACUGAGGCUCGAAAGUGUGGGUAUCAAACAGGAUUAGAUACCCGUGUAGUC
rnacentral:rRNA from 1 species